CCGCGCUCUAUCGUUUCCUUUUUUCCUUCCGUUCCCUUAUCUUUUGUUCCAAUAUGAUUUGUCCGUAGUUCACCGUGCGCCUUUCUGGCUCGACGCCAACUUGGCCGGCUACCCGAGCCUGUAAAUGUGACCACUGCCGAUAGAUGCCGCUAAUGAUUAACCGCGAGUGACCUGAGAAGUAGUGCCGUCCGACACAAUAUAGCAUAAGCGUUUUUAUAUGUAUCUGUAAUUGCAAUUGCUUAAAGUUGAUUGUUUCGGAUGCUUAUUUAUUCAACAAUAUUUCCAACACUGUUAUAAGUAUCCCGAUGUUGUGCGAUUUACUUUCGAGCUGCCACGUCAUGUGUUCGUGCGCGGGGCGUGUCGCAGUGACCGGCGACUGGGUCGCGGCGCCAUUGCUGGUCGAGAGGCGAUAAGCGUGUGACGUUGUGUGCUGUGCUCCGUCGCAACUGAUGGUAUGAUUCGAUGGUGACCGUCGUGUCAGGAGCGAGCCGCGUGGAAUGUCCCGCAGGAGGCGUUACCUGUCGGUAUGUAACGAAUGAUAUUGGUCCCUGGCACAUUGAAAUGUUAUUGCUGAACCCAUUUACUAUCGGAUUUGCAAGCUGAAGUUAGAUGUUAAUUAUCGGGAGAAUUGCCGCGCUGUUCGGAUUAUGUGAGGGGAUUGGCGCACGGUGACGUAAUUUGUCUCGUUAGUUUUAUUGUGUUAUUUGCUUUUGUUGUCGCCCGCGUUAUGUGCAUGUUUUGCUGUUUUCGUUGCAUUAAUUUUCGUACUGUUUGUUUCUACAGAAACGACCAAAUACAGGCCAGUUACGGCUGA